CGAAUUGGCUCAGCUGGUAGAGCAAUUCAUUCGUAAUGAAUAGGUCGCGGGUUCGAGUCCCGCAUUCG
rnacentral:tRNA from 1 species